rnacentral:rRNA from 1 species
UACGUAGGGGGCUAGCGUUGUCCGGAUUUACUGGGCGUAAAGAGCGCGCAGGCGGUCGUUCAAGUCGCGUGUGAAAGCCCCCGGCUCAACUGGGGAGGGUCACGCGAUACUGAUCGACUCGAAGGCAGGAGAGGGUAGUGGAAUUCCCGGUGUAGUGGUGAAAUGCGUAGAUAUCGGGAGGAACACCAAUUGCGAAGGCAGCUCGCUGGAACGUUACUGACGCUGAGACGCGAAAGCGUGGGGAGCAAACAGG